UCAAAGCCCAAGCAGUCUCCCCAGAGCGCAGUUUCCUGACUUGUGCCUUGUGCGUCUGAUGAGAAGAUGUGGUUUCAGCUGAAGGGGAACUCAAGGAAUCAGGAGGGGAGGACAUUGAUCAAAAAUUCCCUCAGGUCAUCUGAGUAAAGGAGGCCAGGGUACUACCAGGAGUGAAGAAGAGAACAGGAAAUAUCUACCAAUACCUAGCACAUACUCCAGAAAGAGGUAUUUUCAGGGGCAGAUCAUCCAAGAGGACAGGAAACAAGAGAACCAAAACAGAAAACCUGGUCAUCAUGUCUCAUUCUCCUGACCAACAUGGCGAUACACUAGAACAAAGCCUUCAGCCCCCAAUGGAGGCACCAGACCUGGUGGAGGCACCGGAUCUGGUGGAGG